AAUAGAUACCCUGGUAGUCCAUGCCGUAAACGUUGGGCACUAGGUGUGGGGCUCAUUCCACGAGUUCCGUGCCGCAGCAAACGCAUUAAGUGCCCCGCCUGGGGAGUACGGCCGCAAGGCUAAAACUCAAAGGAAUUGACGGGGGCCCGCACAAGCGGCGGAGCAUGCGGAUUAGUUCGAUGCAACGCGAAGAACCUUACCAAGGCUUGACAUGCACGGGAAGCCACCAGAGAUGGUGGUCUCUUUGGACACUCGUGCACAGGUGGUGCAUGGUUGUCGUCAGCUCGUGUCGUGAGAUGUUGGGUUAAGUCCCGCAACGAGCGCAACCCUCGUCCCAUGUUGCCAGCGGGUUAUGCCGGGGACUCAUGGGGGACUGCCGGGGUCAACUCGGAGGAAGGUGGGGAUGACGUCAAAUCAUCAUGCCCCUUAUGUCUUGGGCUUCACGCAUGCUACAAUGGCCGGUACAAAGGGCUGCGAUACCGUAAGGUGGAGCGAAUCCCGAAAAAGCCGGUCUCAGUUCGGAUUGGGGU
rnacentral:rRNA from 1 species